UUAGUACAGCGGCGCACGGGUGAGUAACACGUGGAUAACCUGCCUCGAAGUGGGGAAUAACACCGGGAAACCGGUGCUAAUACCGCAUACUCUGACGAGAUCUGUGGAUUUUGUCAGCAAAGGAGCAAUUCGCUUUGAGAGGGGUCCGCGGCUGAUUAGCUAGUUGGUGAGGUAAUGGCUCACCAAGGCCACGAUCAGUAGCCGGUCUGAGAGGACGGUCGGCCACACUGGAACUGAGACACGGUCCAGACUCCUACGGGAGGCAGCAGUGGGGAAUUUUUCGCAAUGGGGGCAACCCUGACGAAGCAACGCCGCGUGGGUGAUGAAGUAUUUCGGUACGUAAAACCCUUUCGACGGGGACGAAACCGCAAGGUUGACGGUACCCGUAGAAGAAGCCCCGGCUAACUCCGUGCCAGCAGCCGCGGUAAUACGUAGGGACCAAGCGUUGUUCGGAUUUACUGGGCGUAAAGGGCGCGUAGGCGGCAUGACAAGUCACUUGUGAAAUCUCCGGGCUUAACUCGGAACGGUCAAGUGAUACUGUCGCGCUAGAGUGCGGAAGGGGCAAUCAGAAUUCUUGGUGUAGCGGUGAAAUGCGUAGAUAUCAAGAGGAAUACCUGAGGUGAAGACGGGUUGCUAGGCCGACACUGACGCUGAAGCGCGAAAGCCAGGGGAGCAAACGGGAUUAGAUACCCCGGUAGUCC
rnacentral:rRNA from 1 species